CCGCCCCCAGCUCCUCACCAGGCAAACCUGGGCAUAUGGGCCUGCCCCUGCUGGUGAGGUGGCCACAACGGUGUGUGGGAAUGGGAUGCUCUGUGACCCAGGUGGUGUGGGCUGAGUCCCGGGAGCCAAAGGGCAGAGGCAGGAUCAGCCACGGGAUUCCAGCCUUGCUGCACAGGGGACUAUGACACUGCAGUGAGAACGAAGAAACCGACUCCAUACGUGAGCAUGGAGGAGCAGCCCCAGCAUGGCAGUGAGCAGCACAAACCAGUCAUUGAAAGCAUCAUUGUGACACCAUUUAUUGAAAACGUACACACAUGCAGAAUAAUGCGUUAAGGAUUUAUACAUAUAGAGUAAAAGUAUAACAACAUGCAUGGGAAAAUGAAGUCCUGGCUACUUCUGGAGGCGGGCAAAGGGGACAACAAGGAAGAAGAGACAGAGUGCAGGGCGUGAGCCUGGAGGCUGGGAGGCCCAGGAGGAGGCUGGCACAAAGGAGAGGGGACAGGCCAUGCAGUCCAAGGCAUCUCCAGGCUGCUUCUCCACACCUGCCCAGUCUUUCCCGUUUCUGCUGAGAGGGGGAAGUGGUGUC
rnacentral:lncRNA from 1 species